rnacentral:snRNA from 1 species
AUACUUAUCUAGCAGAAGAAAUACCAUGACCAAGUAGGUGGUUUUCUCAGAUAUUUUCAAGGUGAGGCCUGUUCCUUGUACUCUGAGCAGGCUGACCCUUGCAAGUUUUCCCAAAUGCAGGAAACUUGACUGCAUGAUUUUGUGGCAAUGGGAGACUGCUUCCUU